CCUACGGGAGGCUGCAGUGGGGGAUAUUGCACAAUGGGGGGAACCCUGAUGCAGCGACGCCGCGUGGGUGAAGGAGCGUUUCGGCGCGUAAAGCCCUAUCGGCAGGGAAGAAGAUGACGGUACCUGACCAAGAAGCCCCGGCUAACUACGUGCCAGCAGCCGCGGUAAUACGUAGGGGGCAAGCGUUAUCCGGAUUUACUGGGUGUAAAGGGGGCGCAGACGGCAGUGCAAGCCAGCUGUGAAAGCUCGGGGCCCAACCCCGGGACUGCUCUUGAAACUGCAUGGCUGGAGUACAGGAGAGGCAGGCGGAAUUCCUAGUGGAGCGGUGAAAUGCGUAGAUAUUAGGAGGAACACCAGUGGCGAAGGCGGCCUGCUGGACUGUGACUGACGUUGAGGCUCGAAGGCGUGGGGAGCGAAAGGGAUUAGAUACCCUAGUAGUC
rnacentral:rRNA from 1 species